rnacentral:rRNA from 1 species
GAUGAACGCUGGCGGCGUGCCUAAUACAUGCAAGUCGAGCGAACAGACGAGGAGCUUGCUCCUCUGACGUUAGCGGCGGACGGGUGAGUAACACGUGGAUAACCUACCUAUAAGACUGGGAUAACUUCGGGAAACCGGAGCUAAUACCGGAUAACAUGUUGAACCGCAUGGUUCAACAGUGAAAGACGGUCUUGCUGUCACUUAUAGAUGGAUCCGCGCCGCAUUAGCUAGUUGGUAAGGUAACGGCUUACCAAGGCAACGAUGCGUAGCCGACCUGAGAGGGUGAUCGGCCACACUGGAGCUGAGACACGGUCCAGACUCCUACGGGAGGCAGCAGUAGGGAAUCUUCCGCAAUGGGCGAAAGCCUGACGGAGCAACGCCGCGUGAGUGAAGAAGGUCUUCGGAUCGUAAAACUCUGUUAUUAGGGAAGAACAAAUGUGUAAGUAACUAUGCACGUCCUGACGGUACCUAAUCAGAAAGCCACGGCUAACUACGUG